AUUUCUCCUACUUCUGAAGUCUGGGAGAUCCAAGAUCAAGGAACAGGCAGAUCUGCUGUCUGGUGAGGGUCAACUUCACGGCUGAUAGAGGACCACCUUCUUGCUGUGUCCUCACAAGGGGUCUCUUUUUUAAGGUCAUUAAUCCCAUUCAGAACCUUUUCACUUCCCAAAGACCCCACCUCCAAAUACCAUCACAUUGGAGAUUAGGAUCUAACCUAUGAAUUUGGGUGGGGACAACACAGACAUUCAUCUGUAGUUCAGACCAUCUAAAUCCAUGAAGUUUAAAUAAAUUUGAGACAGUCAAAAAUCAGGACAGCAGUAUUUUGGCUUCUCUUCCACCAUGUAAAUCACGCUAAAAAUUUUUGUCUAGGCGCAUGAUUCACAGCCUCACGUUAGAGGGUUUCUUGAAAAGGCUUCAGCCAUUUGUUUUGUCAGAGGUUCAGGCCAUUGUUCAGCGUUGAGAGAUAACAGGAAUACAGUUUAAUGUGCUACAGAUGUCUGGGACGGUGACUCAGGCUCCUGGCAGAAAUCCAAGUCAGGAAACCUGCUGUUGCAAUUCGUAUUCUUCUUCGUGUCAGUGCCGGAAACAGCCCGCGCUGUAAUUGCAGAGUUUAUAGUGAUGUAAAUGCAGCCAAACCCCAAGUGAAGCCUCACAGAUGUACAUCAUUAGGAAAGCUCUCAGCCUGUCUUCUCUGCUGUUCAGAGGCGAUUCAUUUGCAAUCAACUUCAAAGACUCUGUGGACGGGAAGAAUGUUCUCUCAUGCUGUCGAGCUCACUUGAAAAUCUGCCCUCCUGACACUUUGAUAAAAGCUUUUUGCCAUCUUUGCAUUUGCAACAUGCGGUGGCUAUUCCGGAGGCCUGCGGCUGAGUGUGGACUGCGUCAACAAGACAGAAAGUAACCUCAGCAUCGACGUAGCGUUUGCCUAUCCAUUCAGGUUACACCAGGUGACGUUUGAGGUGCCCACCUGCGAGGGGAAGGAGCGGCAGAAGGUGGCCCUGAUUGGUGACUCCUCAUCUUCAGCUGAGUUCUUCGUCACUGUCGCUGUCUUCGCCUUCCUCUACUCCUUGGCUGCCACUGUCGUUUACAUUUUCUUUCAGAACAAGUAUCGAGAAAACAACCGGGGUCCACUCAUCGACUUUAUCGUCACUGUAGUCUUUUCAUUCUUGUGGUUGGUGGGUUCCUCAGCUUGGGCGAAAGGGCUGUCUGACGUCAAGGUUGCUACAGAUCCCAAAGAAGUGUUGUUACUGAUGUCAGCUUGCAAACAACCGUCCAACAAGUGCACAGCCGUCCACAGCCCUGUGAUGUCCAGCCUGAACACUUCCGUGGUCUUUGGAUUCUUGAACUUUAUCCUCUGGGCUGGAAACAUCUGGUUUGUUUUCAAGGAGACCGGCUGGCAUUCCUCGGGACAGAGAUAUCUUUCAGACCCAAUGGAAAAGCACUCCAGUAGCUUCAACCAAGGUGGAUACAACCAAGACAGCUAUGGCUCGAGCAGUGGGUACAGCCAGCAGGCGAGUUUGGGGCCAUCCUCAGAUGAGUUUGGCCAACAGCCCAGUGGCCCUGCCUCUUUUACCAACCAGAUUUAACAGGGUGAUGUUGGAAAUCUUUGGAAGAUAGUCUUACCACUUUCCAUGUCAGUGGCAGAAGAAUUUUUUAAGAGUUUCAAUUAUUAAUGCAGAGAGUGUUGAAUGUAAAUCAGAGAUCUGUAGUCCUCAUUAAGGCAGAAAGGCCUGAGUUGUGAUAAAUGGUACUGAGAGAUAAGAUGACAUGAGGAGAUAGAUUAUUCAUUAUGGAUGGCUAAUUGGAGAGUACCUUGUUAUAUACACAGGUACUUUUAUGGUCGUUUUGUAUGCGUGUCGAGAUAGAAGCAUUUUGUAGCUUGAAGUCUCUAGUAUGUAAUAUGCAAAAAGCCAAUUAAAUAGCAUUGAGUUUUCUUAUGCAUUUCGAUGCGAAAGACGUUUUAACGAUUUCUCAAAGAUGAUUUGGUGCAUCACAACGUGCAUGUAUUAUUAUUUUUAGUUGCAGGCCCUGUAGGAUUGUGAAUCUCUUAAGUAUUGGUUUUAGACAAUUACUCUGUAUUUUUUUUAUUUGUGAAUCAAUGCUCAUAUGAUUUAGUGCAUGAAUAAGCAUUUCCUCACACAAUGAACAUUUGAACUGUAUUUAUGAAAAUUUUCCAGUUUGCACCAUGAAUUUGUUAAAUGGACGUUUAAAGAAAUAUAUUCACUACUUUGCAUUCUUGCAAAUCUGUCUCUCUGGCUUUAUCCAAUUUUGAAUGCAUUGUAACUAAGGUUUGGAUUUUUUUCUCCUGAUUAGUAGAUAUUCAGUAUUCUAGAUGGUAAUUGCCCAAUAUUUAUUCUAUUUAGUUAGCUAAAUAUUUACAUUCUUGUAACUUUCUAUGAUGUGUUGUGGUUCUUAUCCUAUGGACUGUGAACAAUAAGCCCACUAACUGUUUGUUGAUGGAGAGUUUUUUUCCUUAGAAUAAUGGAGAUGCAGCUAUUAGACACCAUAAUCAAGAAGAUAUCAAGCUGAUAGAUUUAUGUGUGAAGGACAUUCUGUGGAAGCUACACUACCAACUAAACGAAUGAAUCCUAUUUAUUUCCAAAGUUAAUAUGUUCCUCGAACCAAUUAUUAAAAAUUCUCGUCUCAACUUACAAAGUCUGAUUUGAAUGUUACCCAUAAAUUAAAAAUGACUUCUAUGAACCACUCUGUAUCCCAAAGUGUUCUCAUUAAAUAUUCCCCAGAAUGUAUUAAUGAUCAAGAAAAUGUCCAUUCACCUCUUUAAUUCAGUUGAAACACCAGGGCCCAGCAGUGAGGGCAAGCUCAGCAUCUCUAUUUUCAGAUAUAAGUCAUUAUCAAUGUACAAACCCAUUGUGUGAUCUGUGAUGCUGGAAACAUUUUAGCACAAAGCAGAUGUAUGUCUUAGAUGAUAUCUGUAAACAGUUUCUGGAUCCUGUUGGAUAAAUCUGUAUUGUGAUAUCUAUUUGAACUUAAUAAAGUUAUUGCAUACAA